rnacentral:tmRNA from 2 species
GGGGGUGAAGGGUUUCGACAGAAAGUACUUUUAAAAUAAGCAAGUCGAGGAUGUCAGUUAGCUCGUAAAAAUCUGGCAAAAUAUAAGUGCAGUAAAUUUUGCACCCGCUGUAGCUUAAUACCUAUAGCAAUCUUAAUCACCAACUCUCAAUAGGUGAUUAAGGUUUCAUAGUUCCUCAUUUGAGGUAUUGAGAUAAGUGUUUUAGUCUGUCCAAGCUAAAAGACUGAUAAAAAUUGGACUAGAUUAUUUGGAUUUUUGUCUGUUUUAUAUUCAUAUAAUCGAAUUCAAUAAACAGAAUAUGCUUGUAGAUUUAUUUUAAAAAAACUUUUUGGAUAGGAGUUCAACUCUCCUCACCUCCACAU